rnacentral:lncRNA from 1 species
UAAUAUUUAGAGCUUUCCUUGCAUUUGGUCCCUCAAAAAAAUUAUUUUUAUAAAAGACUCCAUCAAAUUUAUAAUUAUAAUUUUGGUCUUAUUCCUAUCACGCAGAUGCUACGUAAGUGCCAUAUAAACAAGGAGAGGUGUUAAAAUAAGUUGAACACAGUAAUCCAUUUAUCGUGUCUAAACACAAUGAAUGGUUCACCGUGUUUGAAAAAAAAUAUAAAUAUAUGUAUUGCGAAAAAAUAUAAGUAUUGAAAAGAGAGAAUAGAGAAAAUAUAAGUACAAAACACAAUGAAUGAUUCACUGGGUCUUGAAAAAAUAUAUGUAUUGCAAAAAAAUAUUAGCAGAAAAAAAAAAUAUAAGUAUGGAACACGGUGAACCAUUCACCGUAUUUAACUUAAGGUGUUGAUGUGGCGCUUGCGUGGCGGGGAUAGGACCGAAUUUAUAAUUAUAAAUUUGAUGAGAUUAUUUAUAAAAAAAAAAUUAAGGAGACCUAAUGCAAAAAAGUGCUCUAAUAUUUAAAUUUUAUAGAGCAAUACUAUAUGUGCAUUUUGAAGGCCCGUAAAUCUUACACCCUUUUUAUCUAAAAAUUAAUUUUCCUUUCUUAUCUUGCUAGUUUUUCUAAAAAUUAUAUAUUAAAAAAUUAGAAAAAUUUACAAAUCUUAAAAUGAGGAUUGUAUGACAUACAUGUAUUUAUUAAAAUAAACAAUCAGCUUAAAUUUUACUAGUGAAAUACCCGCGCGAUACUGCAGAUUUAAAAAUUUUUUUAAUAAAUUUUAAUUUUUUAUAUUUUUAAAUAAUUUUAUAAGUCUAAUUAUUAAUUAAAUAAAAAUUAUAUAAAAAUAAUUUAAUAGUUAAUUUUAUUUAAAUAAAAUUUAUUAAAACGAUAACUUAUUUUAUAAAGAUUUAUGAGAAAAAAGAUUUGAGAUAAAUAUAUCAAAAUAAUUUAAAAAAAAUAAAUAGAAGGGAAAUAAAAUAAUGGAAGAAUUUGUUUAAUAAAAUUAAUUAUAUAUAUACACACAUGCACUAUAUUUCUAAAAUCUUACUCAAAUUUAAAUUAUGUAUUUUUUAAUACAUCGAUCAAAUUAGAUUUUAUUAUGCGAUUUAUUACGUGUAUUAUUAACAAUAUUAAUUAAUUAUAUUAUACACAAUGAAUUUAUUAAUAAAAUUAAUUAAUUAAUUUUAUAGAGUUUAGAGAUUUAAAAUUUUAAAUUUUGAAGUUUAAAAUUUGAAAAUAAAUAUUAUAAAUUAAAUUUUAAAUUUUAAAUUUUAAAUUUUGAUACCAAUAUAUAUAUAUAG